AAUUACCCUUAAUCUGUUUCUCGAAUCUUUGCCUUUACCAUUGAAACAAGAUCAAUUAUCUGAAUUAAAUUUUCUACUAAAUCCACAUUUAACAUUAUGCAUUUGCAAAAUUUGUGAAAAAAUAAUGCAUCAACCAGUAAUGAUAAAAGAUUGUCAGCGUUCUUUUUGUAGCCUAUGCAUUACAUUGCUUAUUAAAGGUAAACUAGAAAAGGAAGCAAAAUGUCCUAUAUGUUCAAGUUUUAUCAUGGUUAAUAGCCUUUGCAGUUCUGUACAUGUAUUGGAAAUGAUAAAACAUUCAUAUAUUGCAUGCAAACUUUGUAAAAAAAAGUUCUUUUCAAGGACACAUAUGAGGUUCAUGAUUGCCAAAAAGAUCAUUUAAAAAGCGAGCACAGCACAAUCAUUGAUGAUUUCUAUAAAGUCAAUGAAUCAAGUGAUGUCCCUCGAAAUAUCGAAGCUGCAGUUGUGCAUGUGAUUAAGCAAAAACUUGAGCAUUCAAAAACAACAACAAUAGAGUUUUCAUCUGGUGGGCCAAGACCUCUUUGCUUAACUGUAACACCUAAAGCUUACAAGGAAAGUGCAUCAUGCAGUAUAAGUACACUUAAAAAAAGACACAGACUCCUAAUGGAGGAAGUUAAUCAUCAGGUUGGAAAUUCUAAAGAUUCACAGGUAAUGCAAGCUGCAGUUAUGCUAAAAUCAUUUGAUAACUGUAAAAAAGAAAAAUUUUGCAAAAUGCUAACAUUGGAAUUGUUCAACUUUCUGCCGAGGAACUGGUUGCUUUUAAAGCUGACGUAGGGAUACCCUGGAAUAAAUUAAAAACAAUGACUAGAUGGUUAAAUUCAAGAAAUGUCCAGACUGCUUCUAACAGUAAACAAAGAGUUGUUGCAAAGACCUGGGCAAGAGAUGAUCUUAUUGUGUUGGAUGAAAAUUUUACAUUUCAAAAUGAAAAUAUCAAGUGUAGUCUUGAAAUCAAACAUGCUCCUUGGGCAUAUAUAGAUAAUCUACCUAAAAAUAUUGAAAAUAUGCUAAAUAUUCUUGAAAGUUUCAAGUUAAUAAAACAUAAUGGAAUAAAGAAUGAUGAGAUCCACAUUAAAAUUGGGGGAGACCAUGGGGGUGGUUCAUUUAAAAUGAGUUAUCAAAUAGUUAACCAAGACCAACCCAACUCGAAAUCUAACUCUAUUGUGUUUAGCACAUUUGAAGCCAAUGACUAUCGAACUAAUCUUAUAGUAGGGCUAUCUCGUUAUACACUGCAAGUUGAUGAGAUACAAAACAUGAAAUGGCAGUAAGUUACAAUGUCUAAAGUUAAGAGUAAUAGUAAUUUAUGUAAAACUAUAAUCUUUUUAUUUAUUUUAUUGAUUAUUUUUUUAUACUUACAAUUCAAUUAGAAAUUGCAGUGUUCGUGUCUUUAUGUUUGGUGAUUAUAAUUUCCUUUGCAGCGUAUAUGGAAUUACAGGAGCUAGUGGUUGACAUUGCUGUCUUUUUUGUGACAUCACCAAAAAAAAUAUCCAACUGGCUCCAAUAUGCAGAGAACAUGUUUCACAAAGAUCUCUAAACUCCUUAAACAAUGACUUUCAUCGUUUUCAAAGUUAUGGAGGAAAUUUGAAAAAUGCUAAAUUUUUUAACAAUGUGAUUAAUGAAACGCUAUUUAACAUUCCUCUAGACCAGGUUGCUGUACCUGCUUUACAUAUAUCUUUGGGUACCUGUUUAAAAUUUUUU